UUAGAUAUUUCUCUUUAGCCCUGGCUCGUUCAUCAGCAUCAAAAUACCACACUGUGAUGGCAUACCUGGACAGAGGAGAGGCAGGGAGAGACCAGAGAUCAGAGACAGAGUUCUGGACAGGUGGGAUAGGUGGGACAGGUGGGACAGGAGAUACAGGUGAGUAGUUUAGGGUUGAGCGUGUGUUAUAAGCUACAGGUGAGUAGUUUAGGGUUGAGCGUGUGUUAUAAGCUACAGGUGAGUAGUUUAGGGUUGAGCGUGGGCUAUAAGGGUGUGUUAUAAGCUACAGGUGAGUAGUUUAGGGUUGAGCGUGUGUUAUAAGCUACAGGUGAGUAGUUUAGGGUUGAGCGUGGGCUAUAAGGGUGUGUUAUAAGCUACAGGUGAGUAGUUUAGGGUUGAGCGUGUGUUAUAAGCUACAGGUGAGUAGUUUAGGGUUGAGCGUGUGCUAUAAGGGUGUGUUAUAAGCUACAGGUGAGUAGUUUAGGGUUGAGCGUGGGCUAUAAGGGUGUGUUAUAAGCUACAGGUGAGUAGUUUAGGGUUGAGCGUGUGUUAUAAGCUACAGGUGAGUAGUUUAGGGUUGAGCGUGUGCUAUAAGGGUGUGUUAUAAGCUACAGGUGAGUAGUUUAGGGUUGAGCGUGUGUUAUAAGCUACAGGUGAGUAGUUUAGGGUUGAGCGUGUGCUAUAAGGGUGUGUUAUAAGCUACAGGUGAGUAGUUUAGGGUUGAGCGUGUGUUAUAAGCUACAGGUGAGUAGUUUAGGGUUGAGCGUGUGCUAUAAGGGUGUGUUAUAAACUACAGGUGAGUAGUUUAGGGUUGAGCGUGUGUUAUAAGCUACAGGUGAGUAGUUUAGGGUUGAGCGUGUGUUAUAAGGGUGUGUUAUAAGGGUGUGUUAUAAACAACAGGUGAGUAGUUUAGGGUUGAGCGUGUGUUAUAAGCUACAGGUGAGUAGUUUAGGGUUGAGCGUGUGUUAUAAGGGUGUGUUAUAAGGGUGUGUUAUAAGCUACAGGUGAGUAGUUUAGGGUUGAGCGUGUGUUAUAAGCUACAGGUGAGUAGUUUAGGGUUGAGCGUGUGUUAUAAGGGUGUGUUAUAAGGGUGUGUUAUAAACUACAGGUGAGUAGUUUAGGGUUGAGCGUGUGUUAUAAGGGUGUGUUACUAGAUGUGUUAUAAGAUGCAUUAAAGGAGUGUUAUAAGAUGUGUUAUAAGGUGUUAUAUAGGUAUCUUAUAAGAUGUUAGAUGUUAUUAGGUGUUAAAGGCAUGUUAUAAAGAUGUUAUAAGAUGUGUUAUAAGGUGUUAUAUAGGUAUCUUAUAAGAUGUUAAAGAUGUUAUUAGGCGUUAAAGGCAUGUUAUAAAGAUGUUAUUAGGUGUUAAAGGCAUGUUAUAAAGAUGUUAUUAGGUGUUAAAGGCAUGUUAUAAAGAUGUUAUAAGAUGUGUUAUCAGGUGUUAUAUAGGUAUCUUAUAAGAUGUUAAAGAUGUUAUUAGGUGUUAAAGGCAUGUUAUAAAGAUGUUAUUAGGUGUUAAAGGCAUGUUAUAAAGAUGUUAUUAGGUGUUAAAGGCAUGUUAUAAAGAUGUUAUUAGGUGUUAAAGGCAUGUUAUAAAGAUGUUAUAAGAUGUGUUAUCAGGUGUUAUAUAGGUAUCUUAUAAGAUGUUAAAGAUGUUAUUAGGUGUUAAAGGCAUGUUAUAAAGAUGUUAUUAGGUGUUAAAGGCAUGUUAUAAAGAUGUUAUUAGGUGUUAAAGGCAUGUUAUAAAGAUGUUAUUAGGCGUCAAAGGCAUGUUAUAAAUAUGUUAUUAGGUGUUAAAGGCAUGUUAUAAAGAUGUUAUUAGGUGUUAAAGGCAUGUUAUAAAGAUGUUAUUAGGUGUUAAAGGCAUGUUAUAAAGAUGUUAUUAGGUGUUAAAGGCAUGUUAUAAAGAUGUUAUUAGGCGUUAAAGGCAUGUUAUAAAGAUGUUAUUAGGCGUUAAAGGCAUGUUAUAAAGAUGUUAUUAGGUGUUAAAGGCAUGUUAUAAAGAUGGUAUUAGGUGUUAAAGGCAUGUUAUAAAGAUGUUAUUAGGUGUUAAAGGCAUGUUAUAAAGAUGUUAUUAGGUGUUAAAGGCAUGUUAUAAAGAUGUUAUUAGGUGUUAAAGGCAUGUUAUAAAGAUGUUAUUAGGUGUUAAAGGCAUGUUAUAAAGAUGUUAUUAGGUGUUAAAGGCAUGUUAUAAAGAUGUUAUUAGGCGUUAAAGGCAUGUUAUAAAGAUGUUAUUAGGCGUUAAAGACAUGUUAUAAAGAUGUUAUUAGGUGUUAAAGGCAUGUUAUAAAGAUGUUAUUAGGUGUUAAAGGCAUGUUAUAAAGAUGUUAUUAGGCGUUAAAGGCAUGUUAUAAAGAUGUUAUUAGGUGUUAAAGGCAUGUUAUAAAGAUGUUAUUAGGUGUUAAAGGCAUGUUAUAAAGAUGUUAUUAGGUGUUAAAGGCAUGUUAUAAAGAUGUUAUUAGGUGUUAAAGGCAUGUUAUAAAGAUGUUAUUAGGCGUUAAAGGCAUGUUAUAAAGAUGUUAUUAGGCGUUAAAGGCAUGUUAUAAAGAUGUUAUUAGGUGUUAAAGGCAUGUUAUAAAGAUGUUAUUAGGUGUUAAAGGCAUGUUAUAAAGAUGUUAUUAGGUGUUAAAGGCAUGUUAUAAAGAUGUUAUUAGGUGUUAAAGGCAUGUUAUAAAGAUGUUAUUAGGCGUUAAAGGCAUGUUAUAAAGAUGUUAUUAGGCGUUAAAGGCAUGUUAUAAAGAUGUUAUUAGGCGUUAAAGGCAUGUUAUAAAGAUGUUAUUAGGCGUUAAAGGCAUGUUAUAAAGAUGUUAUUAGGUGUUAAAGGCAUGUUAUAAAGAUGUUAUUAGGUGUUAAAGGCAUGUUAUAAAGAUGUUAUUAGGUGUUAAAGGCAUGUUAUAAAGAUGUUAUUAGGUGUUAAAGGCAUGUUAUAAAGAUGUUAUUAGGUGUUAAAGGCAUGUUAUAAAGAUGUUAUUAGGUGUUAAAGGCAUGUUAUAAAGAUGUUAUUAGGUGUUAAAGGCAUGUUAUAAAUAUGUUAUUAGGUGUUAAAGGCAUGUUAUAAAGAUGUUAUUAGGCGUUAAAGGCAUGUUAUAAAGAUGUUAUUAGGUGUUAAAGGCAUGUUAUAAAGAUGUUAUUAGGUGUUAAAGGCAUGUUAUAAAGAUGUUUAGGUGUUAAAGGCAUGUUAUAAAGAUGUUAUUAGGUGUUAAAGGCAUGUUAUAAAGAUGUUAUUAGGCGUUAAAGCCAUGUUAUAAAGAUGUUAUUAGGUGUUAAAGGCAUGUUAUAAAGAUGUUAUUAGGUGUUAAAGGCAUGUUAUAAAGAUGUUAUUAGGUGUUAAAGGCAUGUUAUAAAGAUGUUAUUAGGUGUUAAAGGCAUGUUAUAAAGAUGUUAUUAGGUGUUAAAGGCAUGUUAUAAAGAUGUUAUUAGGUGUUAAAGGCAUGUUAUAAAGAUGUUAUUAGGUGUUAAAGGCAUGUUAUAAAGAUGUUAUUAGGCGUUAAAGGCAUGUUAUAAAGAUGUUAUUAGGUGUUAAAGGCAUGUUAUAAAGAUGUUAUUAGGUGUUAAAGGCAUGUUAUAAAGAUGUUAUUAGGUGUUAAAGGCAUGUUAUAAAGAUGUUAUAAGAUGUGUUAUCAGGUGUGUUAAAAAUAAUUGUUAUAAGGUGUGUUAAAUGUUAAACGUGUAUUUUAAGAUGUGUUAUAAAGGUGUGUUAGAUGUUAUAAAGGUGUGUUAGAUG